CGCCGUGGCGAGUAGACAUCGCCCUUACGUUGGCGUAGUUUUUCGUGUGUUGAUCUUCUGUUUAUUACAGCAGACUGGACAUCGUAUUAUCUCUGCGAUUUCUGCUACUUUAUAUAAUCAAGAGAUUUACUGUGCACCGAUGGAAAGGAUAUUAAAUUCGUGACUAAGCGAAACAAAAAAUGCUCCGAUCAAAGAUGACGUAUCUACGUAGAAAUGGAAACUAAAAUAGGAAACUAUGGAAUGGACAUAAUAUAAUAUUAUAUCGUUGAUAAGACUGUCAGGAUACGCCCGGACAUUCUCUCUUUCAAAUAUGAUAAUCGGUGCAACAAACGACAACUGGAGAGGCCUUGUACGAAAGCACCUUCACAGGAAAACAGUCUAUUGUGUCAUCAGCCUAGGUCUCAUUUUAUUCGGUUACGCAAGCGUUGUCUCGAGGACAGAAUUAGUCACGUACGAUGUCCUCCGCCUUCAGGAGAGGAUUAAUGACACGUACGGCGUCCCGUUGAAGGAAGAGAUUGCAGGGCCAAGAGAUAACCUUUUCAACGAAGUCCACCUCGAAAUAGGCAAUAGUACCGCUCCAAGUCUCCUGCCUAUUAGGGCUAAUAUCCGCUAUUCUUCCUACAGAGAUGUGGUUGCUAAUCUCAGCAGUGACUGGACCAGCGAGAAAGCGGAGAGUCAGCGCGAGGUGUUCAGACGGCGAGCCUCCGUCGCUAGGGCCGGCUGCAAAUUCGUGGAAGGCAAAUCCCCGGGUAUUUCGAGGUCAAAAACAACCGACUCCUGAACAACCUGAGA